rnacentral:rRNA from 1 species
ACGGGUGCGUAACACGUGAGUUACAUGCCCUGCAGUGGGGAAUAGCCCGCCGAAAGGCGGAUUAAUACCCCAUGGUUCCCGCAAGGGUAAAGGUGGCGCAAGCUGCCGCUGCAGGAUUGGCUCGCGGCCUAUCAGCUAGUUGGCGAGGUAACGGCUCACCAAGGCGACGACGGGUACCUGGUCUGAGAGGAUGAUCAGGCACACUGGAACUGAGACACGGUCCAGACACCUACGGGUGGCAGCAGUCGAGAAUAAUUCACAAUGGGGGAAACCCUGAUGGUGCAACGCCGCGUGGAGGAUGAAGGUCUUCGGAUUGUAAACUCCUGUCAUCGGGGAGUAAGACCUGGCGGUGAAUAGCCGACAGGGUUGAUAGUACCCGAAGAGGAAGGGACGGCUAACUUCGUGCCAGCAGCCGCGGUAAUACGAAGGUCCCAAGCGUUGUUCGGAAUCACUGGGCGUAAAGGGAGCGUAGGCUGCGUGGUAAGUCAGAUGUGAAAUCCCGGGGCUCAACCCCGGAACUGCAUCCGAUACUGCCAUGCUUGAGGGUUGGAGAGGUAGCUGGAAUUCUCGGUGUAGCAGUG